rnacentral:rRNA from 1 species
AUUGAACGCUGGCGGCAUGCUUUACACAUGCAAGUCGAACGGUAACAGGCCGCAAGGUGCUGACGAGUGGCGAACGGGUGAGUAAUGCGUCGGAACGUGCCCAGUCGUGGGGGAUAACGCAGCGAAAGCUGCGCUAAUACCGCAUACGAUCUAUGGAUGAAAGCGGGGGACCGUAAGGCCUCGCGCGAUUGGAGCGGCCGAUGUCAGAUUAGGUAGUUGGUGGGGUAAAGGCUCACCAAGCCGACGAUCUGUAGCUGGUCUGAGAGGACGACCAGCCACACUGGGACUGAGACACGGCCCAGACUCCUACGGGAGGCAGCAGUGGGGAAUUUUGGACAAUGGGGGCAACCCUGAUCCAGCAAUGCCGCGUGCAGGAAGAAGGCCUUCGGGUUGUAAACUGCUUUUGUACGGAACGAAACGGCUCUGGUUAAUACCCGGAGCUAAUGACGGUACCGUAAGAAUAAGCACCGGCUAACUACGUGCCAGCCGCCGCUGUAACAC